GAUAUUUAUCAUGCACCCCUAAUUUUGAACCAAAUGAGAUGCUCUGUAUGUGAAGGUGCUGGGAUCUGGCUCUGUUUGGAGAAAACAGAUCUUUGAAGAAAUCCAGAAGAUUGAAGCCAAUGAGUUUCACUAUCAGGAGCAGUGUAUUCCACAAGAAAACUGUGAUCUUUGGGCUGGAGAUUUCCAGUUGAACCCGGAACUUCUCCUGCCAGCUGAGAACAGGUUUAUAGCCACAGAUUUCACCCUCAAAACAUCAGACUGUCCUGACACGGACUUCCCAGUCAAAAUAAUUGACAGUGAGAGAGGCCGUCUCUGGUUCAGAAAGGACAACAAGUUCAAGACACCCAAAGGUAACUUCUCUUCACACCAAGUUUAUUCGCUGGAUGGUGGACCUUCUGCUACUUAUGGUGCCGGUACAAGAACCAAAUCUUCCAAUGCCUGAAUUGAACAUCAUAGUAGACGUACAGUAUCUGUUGAGAAGCUGGAGGAGGGAAACUUGACUACUUUUCCAAGUACAUCACAAGCUCUUGUCAGGCUAUUGUGGAGUAUGCGAUCCGGAAGUGCUCAACUCAGAACAAAACAGAGAAUGAGCUCUACCAACUUUCUAAACUUCAGAAAGAGUGUGGUGAGUGGGUGGAGACCUGUCGAUACUACUGUCGGGUGUGAAGGGAAGCCCUGUGGAGCUGCAGCUGUCUGGAAAAACUGUGCCACAGUCUCUCAAGCAACAACCAGAGGAACCCACAGAAGAAGAUGAAGAGGAACCUGUAGUGGUCUCUACAUAAGCUGUGUCGUCCAGAGAUGUUGAGACAAGAGCUAUCAGUGCAGAGGUACGAGUGCUAAAGGCCGAAGAAGAGCUGCAGGCAGCUCUGGACAAGAUACAAGAUCUGGAGAGGCAGCUACAGGCUCGGUCUAGUGUGGAGACCAAGUCAAGCAAGAAUAAUGUUACACCCGCACCCAAGGCCCCCA